CCUACGGGAGGCAGCAGUAGGGAAUUUUCGUCAAUGGGCGCAAGCCUGAACGAGCAAUGCCGCGUGAACGAGGAAGGUCUUCGGAUCGUAAAGUUCUGUUGAAGGGGAAAAAGAGCGGAGAGAGGAAAUGGUCUCCGAUUGAUAUUACCCUUCGAGGAAGUCACGGCUAACUACGUGCCAGCAGCCGCGGUAAUACGUAGGUGGCGAGCGUUAUCCGGAAUGAUUGGGCGUAAAGGGUGCGUAGGCGGCCUGCUAAGUCUGGAGUGAAAGGUACCGGCUCAACCGGUACAGGCUCUGGAAACUGGCGGGCUAGAGAGCGAGAGAGGGCGGUGGAACUCCAUGUGUAGCGGUAAAAUGCGUAGAUAUAUGGAAGAACACCAGUGGCGAAGGCGGCCGCCUGGCCUGUUACUGACGCUGAGGCACGAAAGCGUGGGGAGCAAAUAGGAUUAGAUACCCCAGUAGUC
rnacentral:rRNA from 1 species